GACGAACGCUGGCGGCGUGCUUAACACAUGCAAGUCGAACGGAAAGGCCCUGCUUUUGUGGGGUGCUCGAGUGGCGAACGGGUGAGUAACACGUGAGUAACCUGCCCUUGACUUUGGGAUAACUUCAGGAAACUGGGGCUAAUACCGGAUAUGAGCUCCUGCUGCAUGGUGGGGGUUGGAAAGUUUCGGCGGUUGGGGAUGGACGCGCGGCUUAUCAGCUUGUUGGUGGGGUAGUGGCUUACCAAGGCAUUGACGGGUAGCCGGCAUGAGAGGGUAAACGGGCACAAGGGGCCUGCGAGACGGCGCAGAGGCGAACGGGAGGCAGCGGGGGGGAAUAUUGCACAGUGGGCGGGAGUGUGGUGCGGCAACGCCGCGUGCGGGAUGACCGCCUGCGGGUUGUAAACCGCUUUCGCCUGUGACGGAGCGUGAGUGACGGUAAUGGAUAAAGAAGCACCGGCUAACUACGUG
rnacentral:rRNA from 1 species